rnacentral:tRNA from 1 species
AGAAUUUUAAGUUAAACAAACUAAAAGCCUUCAAAGCUUUAAAUAGGAGUUAAUCCUAAAUUCUA